rnacentral:rRNA from 1 species
CAUAGGUUAAUGAGGCGAACCGGGGGAACUGAAACAUCUAAGUACCCCGAGGAAAAGAAAUCAACCGAGAUUCCCCCAGUAGCGGCGAGCGAACGGGGAGGAGCCCAGAGCCUGAAUCAGUGUGUGUGUUAGUGGAAGCGUCUGGAAAGGCGCGCGAUACAGGGUGACAGCCCCGUACACAAAAAUGCACAUAUUGUGAGCUCGAUGAGUAGGGCGGGACACGUGGUAUCCUGUCUGAAUAUGGGGGGACCAUCCUCCAAGGCUAAAUACUCCUGACUGACCGAUAGU